UACGGGGGGGGCAAGCGUUGUUCGGAAUUACUGGGCGUAAAGGGCGCGUAGGCGGCCUGCUAAGUCACACGUGAAAUCCCUCGGCUCAACCGGGGAACUGCGUGUGAUACUGGCGGGCUUGAAUUCGGGAGAGGGAUGUGGAAUUCCAGGUGUAGCGGUGAAAUGCGUAGAUAUCUGGAGGAACACCGGUGGCGAAGGCGGCAUCCUGGACCGAGAUUGACGCUGAGGCGCGAAAGCGUGGGGGGAGCGAACAGG
rnacentral:rRNA from 1 species